CGUAACAAGGUUUUCGUAGGUGAACCUGCGGAAGGAUCAUUGUCGUUGCCUCAAUCAGUUCAACCUGUGAAAUUGUUUGCUUACUACCUGAGGGUGCUGGGGUGACGGCGAGUCAUCUCAGUCUCUCUUGUGUCAGGAGGUGUGAUCGUGCCCUGUGCGAUUCCCUGCUGGCCAACCUCAAACCCCGGCGCAUUGUGCGUCAAGGAAUUUGAAACAUAUGCACAUGCCCGUGGAACCGGGGACGGUGCUCCCACGGGUGUUGUCAUGAAAUUUUAUACUAAAUGACUCUCGGCAACGGAUAUCUCGGCUCUUGCAUCGAUGAAGAACGUAGCGAAAUGCGAUACUUGGUGUGAAUUGCAGAAUCCCGUGAACCAUCGAGUCUUUGAACGCAAGUUGCGCCUGAAGCCAUUAGGCUGAGGGCACGCCUGCCUGGGUGUCACACAUUUGUUGCCCCAUGCCAACACUCACAGGGUGUUGAUAUGGAGUAAGCGCUGGCCUCCCACGAGCCUCGACUCGUGGUUGGCUGAAAAGUGAGUCUGUGGUGAAGGACACCGUGACAAAUGGUGGUUGAGUAAUGCUCUAGGCCAAUCAUGCGUGGCUUCACUAGACAAAGGCUCUGACCCUGUGUGUGUUGAAACGAACGCUCUCACUGAGACCUCAGGUCAGGCGGGGCUACCCGCUGAGUUUAAGCAUAUCAAUAA
rnacentral:rRNA from 1 species